GUGUUAAUUUUAGCUUACCUGGGUAAUAUUAGUUAAGGUCUUUAAACCCAAAGAAUUUGGCGGUAUUUCAUUCCAUUCAGAGGAACCUAUCUCGUAAUUGAUAGUACACGAUUAACUUUACUUAAUUUAUUUGUUUGUAUAUCUCCGUUAUCAGAAAAUCUUUUUGGAGUUAUAAUUUUCCUGUUUUUUCAUUAGAAAUUAUUUCAGGUCAAGGUGCAGCUUAUAAUUAAGUGUAUGAUGGGUUACAAUAAAUUUUUUUUUAUUAUGGAUUUAAUUUUGAAAAUUUUUAAUGAAGGUGGAUUUGAUAGUAAUUUAAUUUAUUUAAUUUAAUUGAUAUUGGCUCU
rnacentral:rRNA from 1 species